rnacentral:rRNA from 1 species
AUUGAACGCUGGCGGCAUGCCUUACACAUGCAAGUCGAACGGCAGCACGGGAGCAAUCCUGGUGGCGAGUGGCGAACGGGUGAGUAAUAUAUCGGAACGUGCCCAGUCGUGGGGGAUAACGUAGCGAAAGCUACGCUAAUACCGCAUACGAUCUAUGGAUGAAAGCGGGGGAUCGCAAGACCUCGCGCGAUUGGAGCGGGCCGAUAUCAGAUUAGGUAGUUGGUGAGGUAAAGGCUCGCCAAGCCGACGAUCUGUAGCUGGUCUGAGAGGACGACCAGCCACACUGGGACUGAGACACGGCCCAGACUCCUACGGAGGCAGCA